ACACGCAUGACACACUGCAUAUCAAUAAGCGGAGGAAAAGAAACUAACUAGGAUUCCCUUAGUAACGGCGAGUGAAGCGGGAAGAGCUCAAAUUUGAAAUCUUCAAGGUUUUACCUUGACGAAUCGUAGUUUAAAGAAGUGUUUUCUGUUGAAGUUUUGGUAAAAGUUCUUUGGAAUAGGACAUCAUAGAGGGUGAGAAUCCCGUAUUUGACCAUUACUUUCCAGCUGUGUGCAUACACUUUCAAAGAGUCGGAUUGUUUGGGAAUGCAGUCCAAAAUGGGUGGUAAAUUUCAUCUAAAGCUAAAUAUUGGCGAGAGACCGAUAGCGAACAAGUACCGUGAGGGAAAGAUGAAAAGAACUUUGAAAAGAGAGUUAAACAGUACGUGAAAUUGUCAAAAGGGAAGCGUUUGACACCAGUGUUGUUUAGUUGAAAAUCAAUUCAAUAGUUUUUGAUUCUAAGUAGUAUUGACUUCAUCAGCUUGCUGCUUUCUUCUCAGAAAUUAUUGAAUGCACUUUUCAGUUAACAAGUCAACAUCAAUUUCUUUUGUUGUAAAAGGGUAAGAGGAAGGUGGCUUACGCUUCGGCGUAAGUGUUUAUAGCCUUUUACCUCUGCAAUCGGAGAGGUUGAGGACAGCAGCGUAGACUCUUCGGGGUUAGAUACACUUGUGCUAAGCUAUAGCCUUGUAUAGACAACUCGUUGACUAUGCUCAGUCAUGUAGCUUACUCGCUUGUGCUAUUUUACCUACGCUUAGGAUGUUGACUGAUAUGUAGUCGUA
rnacentral:rRNA from 1 species